GUCUAUGGCCAUAUCACACUGAAUGUGCCCGAUCUUGUCUGAUCUCAGAACCUAAGCAGGGUCGGGCCUGGUUAGCACUGGAUAGGAGAAUCCACCUGCAAUGUGGGCCUGGUUAGCACUGGAU
rfam:Ovis aries breed Texel chromosome 4, whole genome shotgun sequence.